GACGAACGCUGGCGGCGUGCUUAACACAUGCAAGUCGAGCGAUGAAGUUUCUUCGGAAAUGGAUUAGCGGCGAACGGGUGAGGAACACGUGAAGAAUCUGCCCUCCACUUUGGGAUAACACCGGGAAACCGGUGCUAAUACUGAAUAUUGAAACAUAAGUGGCAUCACUGAGUUUUGAAAGAAUUUCGGUGGAGGAUGACUUCGCGGCCUAUCAGCUAGUUGGUGAGGUAAUGGCUCACCAAGGCAACGACGGGUAGCCGGCCUGAGAGGGCGACCGGCCACACUGGGACUGAGACACGGCCCAGACUCCUACGGGAGGCAGCAGUGGGGAAUAUUGGGCAAUGGAGGAAACUCUGACCCAGCGACGCCGCGUGCGGGAUGAAGGCCUUCGGGUUGUAAACCGCUUUCAGUAGGGAAGAAGCGAAAGUGACGGUACCUACAAAAGAAGCACCGGCUAACUAUGUGCCAGCCGCCGCGGUAA
rnacentral:rRNA from 1 species